CGUGAUUGAUAAUACACGAUUUACUCUACUUAUUUUAUUUGUUUGUAUAUCUCCGUUAUCAGAGAAUCUUUUUAGAGUUAUAAUUCUCAAGAUUUAUAAUUAUAAAAUAUUUCAGGUCAAGGUGCAGCUUAUAGUUAAGAGGAGGUGGGUUACAAUAGAUUUUUGUUUAUAACGGAUUUGAUGGUGAAAUACUAUUAAUGAAGGUGGAUUUGAUAGUAAUUUAAUUUAUUUAAUUUAACUGAUAUUGGCUCUGAGGUGUGUACACAUCGCCCGUCGCUCUCAUUAUUGAUUAUUCUAUUUUAUUGUUUUAAUUUAGCUUCAAUUUAGAUGAGAUAAGUCGUAACAUAGUAGAUGUACUGGAAAGUGUAUCUAGUAAGAGUUUCAA